GACGAACGCUGGCGGCGUGCCUAAUACAUGCAAGUCGAACGCAGUGGGGACGGGUGAGUAACACGUGGGUAACCUCCCAUCAGAGGGGAUAACACUUGGAAACAGGUGCUAAACCGAUACUGAUGGAUGGACCCGCGGGGCAUUAGCUAGUUGGUGAGGUAACGGCUCACCAAGGCGACGAUGCAUAGCCGGGCUGAGAGUGUGAUCGUCCACACUGGGAUGGUGACACUCCCCAGACUCCUACGGGAGGCAGCGGUGGGGAAGCUGUGUCAAUGGACGCAAGUCUGACCGAGCAACGCAGCGUGAGUGAAGAAGGUGUUCGGGUCUUAAAACUCUGUUAUUUGAGAAGCGGUAUCUAACCAGAAAGCCACGGCUAACUACGUGCCAGCCGCCGCGGUAAUAC
rnacentral:rRNA from 1 species